CUACGGGUGGCUGCAGUGAGGAAUAUUGCACAAUGGGGGGAACCCUGAUGCAGCAACGCCGCGUGGAGGAUGACGCAUUUCGGUGUGUAAACUCCUUUUAUAUGUCAAGAAAAUGACGGUAGCAUAUGAAUAAGCACCGGCUAACUCCGUGCCAGCAGCCGCGGUAAUACGGAGGGUGCAAGCGUAUACUCGGAAUCACUGGGCGUAAAGGACGCGUAGGCGGGUUGGAAAGUCAGGUGUGAAAUCCUACAGCUUAACUGUAGAACUGCACUUGAAACUUCUAAUCUAGAGUAUGGGAGGGGGAGGUGGAAUUAGUGGUGUAGGGGUAAAAUCCGUAGAUAUCACUAGGAAUACCUAAAGCGAAGGCGAUCUCCUGGAACAUUACUGACGCUAAGGCGUGAAAGCGUGGGGAGCAAACAGGAUUAGAUACCCCUGUAGUC
rnacentral:rRNA from 1 species